rnacentral:rRNA from 1 species
UACGUAGGGCGCAAGCGUUGUCCGGAAUUAUUGGGCGUAAAGAGCUCGUAGGCGGUUUGUCACGUCGGAUGUGAAAGCCCGGGGCUUAACCCCGGGUCUGCAUUCGAUACGGGCAGACUGGAGUGUGGUAGGGGAGAUCGGAAUUCCUGGUGUAGCGGUGAAAUGCGCAGAUAUCAGGAGGAACACCGGUGGCGAAGGCGGAUCUCUGGGCCAUAACUGACGCUGAGAAGCGAAAGCAUGGGGAGCGAACAGG